rnacentral:rRNA from 1 species
GAUGAACGCUGGCGGCGUGCUUAACACAUGCAAGUCGAACGGACAGGCCCUGCGUUUGUGGGGUGCUCGAGUGGCGAACGGGUGAGUAACACGCGAGUAACCUGUCCUUGUCUUUGGGGUAACUUCAGGGGACUGGGGCGAUUAUCGGAGAGGAGCUACUGCUGCGUGGGGGGGGUUGGAAAGAUUCGGCGGUUGGGGUUGUAGUCGAGGCUUAUCAGCUUGUUGGUGGGGUUGUGGAUUAACAGGGAUUUGACGGCGAGCCGGCCUGAGAGGGUGACCGGCCACAUUGGGAUAGAGAUACGGCCCAGACGCCUUCGGGAGGCAAGAGUGGGGAAUAUUGCACAAAGGGCGGAAGGAUGAUGGAGCAACGCCGCGUGCGGGAUGACGGCCUUCGGGUUGGAAACCGCUUUCGCCUGUGACGAAGCGUGAGUGACGGUAAUGGGUAAAGAAGCACCGGCUAAUUACGU